rnacentral:rRNA from 1 species
CCUACGGGAGGCAGCAGUGGGGAAUAUUGCACAAUGGGGGAAACCCUGAUGCAGCGACGCCGCGUGAGUGAAGAAGUAUUUCGGUACGUAAAGCUCUAUCAGCAGGGAAGAAAAUGACGGUUCCUGACUAAGAAGCCCUGGCUAACUACGUGCCAGCAGCAGCGGUAAUACGUAGGGGGCAAGCGUUAUCCGGAUUUACUGGGUGUAAAGGGAGCGUAGACGGCAGCGCAAGUCUGGAGUGAAAUCCCAUGGCUUAACCAUGGAACUGCAUUGGAAACUGUGCAGCUAGAGUGCAGGAGAGGUAAGCGGAAUUCCUAGUGUAGCGGUGAAAUGCGUAGAUAUUAGGAGGAACACCAGUGGCGAAGGCGGCUUACUGGACUGUAACUGACGUUGAGGCUCGAAAGCGUGGGGAGCAAACAGGAUUAGAUACCCUGGUAGUC